rnacentral:rRNA from 1 species
AUUCCAGCUCCAAUAGCGUAUAUUAAAGUUGUUGCGGUUAAAAAGCUCGUAGUUGGAUUUCUGCCGAGGACGACCGGUCCGCCCUCUGGGUGAGUAUCUGGCUCGGCCUGGGCAUCUUCUUGGAGAACGUAUCUGCACUUGACUGUGUGGUGCGGUAUCCAGGACUUUUACUUUGAGGAAAUUAGAGUGUUUCAAGCAGGCAUACGCCUUGAAUACAUUAGCAUGGAAUAAUAAGAUAGGACCUCGGUUCUAUUUUGUUGGUUUCUAGAGCUGAGGUAAUGAUUAAUAGGGAUAGUUGGGGGCAUUCGUAUUUAACUGUCAGAGGUGAAAUUCUUGGACCGUUUGAAGACAAACUACUGCGAAAGCAUUUGCCAAGAAUGUCUUCAUCA